rnacentral:lncRNA from 1 species
AGUCCAUAGCAGUCAUUUUCUCUUCUACAGAAUCUGAUGGAAGCCAGGCACUUCUUCAGCUGGAAGAGUUCCUUCAGAACAAAGCUAUCCAGACUGUAAGGAGUUCUGUCCUUGAGAAUGCGACUCUGUUACUGCCCCAGAGGUAUGGUCAAAAGAACAUAAACAGGCUAACUGGAAAUCAGCUUAAUUGAGACUUCAGUUUAUUACAGAAUAAAUAGAGGAUGGAGACAGCCUAGAACAUAGUCCUUACAAACAACUGGGGGAUAUUACAAGGUAGAAUUCAUUUGGCAGGUGCAAAGCAGUGCUGUGUCUACUUGCAAACAUGUUGCAAGAAUUUUUUCAAUAUAACAAGUCAAAUCAUACUAUGAUAUGAUUUAACACCAAUUUCGUGUUACAUCAGGUACUUCUCCACUGAUUUCCAUUUAUCCUAUUUACAAUGAUACAUUCUAAAGUAUUAUAAGAAAUAGUACAAAAUAUUUUGGUUUUAUGUUUUGAUUUUUUGGUUUUUUUUAUGUAGUACCGAGAAUCAAAAACAGUGCCUCCCAUGUGCUAGACAAGUGCUCUAUCAUUGAACUACAAUUCCAGCCCUGAGUUUGAUGAAUUUUGACCUUUGAAUAUACCUGUGUAAUCACUACCUAGACACCAGGUCUACCAGAGUCUUGACCUUGGAUUUGCCAGAUAUUUGAACAUACUGUCUCCUGAUUUUUUUUUCACCUUAUAUUACAUCACAUUUUUUCCCUAUUGCAUUAAAAAUUACUUGUAAGCAUGUGUCCCCAUUUGGAUAUAACUUAUUUAGCCUUUUUCUUUCUUUUUUCUUUUUUUGGUACCAUGGAUUGAACUUAGGAGCCUUAACCAUUGAGCCCCAUCCCUUUUUUAUAUUUUAUUUAGAGAGGGUCUCACUGAGUUGCUUAAGACCUCGCUAAGUUGCUGAGGCUGGCUCUGAACUUGUGAUCCUCCUGCCUCGGCUGCUGGGAUUACCGGCAUGAGCUACUGUACCGAGCCCUUUUGAAGGUGGAGUUGGCAAACUUUUAUCUUUUGUGUGUGUGUGUUUGUUAAGGUAAGGUCAGAGUUUCUUGUGAAUUGGAAGUUCAACUUAAAGCAAAUCUUUCAAAGGAUUGGAAAAGAUUGUAAAAAUUGUGGCACCACAGUCUGGGGUUGGUGGAAACAUCCAGGUUGUUUCUUGACUUUUUUUUUUUUUUUUAAUAUUUAUAUUUUAGUUGUAGUUGGACAUAAUAUCUUUAUAUUUUUUAAUUUAUUUUUAUGUGGUGCUGGAGAAUGAAUCCAGGGCCUCCUUGCACAUGCUAGGCGAGUGCUCUACUGCUAAGCCACAACCCCAGCCCUUGUUUUUGUUUAUAGCUUGAUGACUUAUCUGUUAUUUUUUCUAUUUAUUGAGAUAAAACACAUAAAAUUUACUAUCUUAACCUUUUGAAGUGUAUAGUUCAGAGACAUCAAGUACAUUCUCGUGCUUCUGUCUCUAGCACGUUCUCAACAUUCCAUACUGAAAAAUUCAGUCCCAAUUAAACAAUAACCCUCCAUCCUUUUCUCCAUGCAGCAGCAAAUAUUUUGUUAAAGGUUGCUAUGGUCUGAAUGUUUGUGCCCUCACAGAACUCAAAUGUUGAAACCUAGCCCUCAGAGUGAUUGUAUCAGGAGAUGGGGCCUUGGGGAGGAGACUGGUCAUGAGUGGAGCCCUCAGGAACUGAUUUGUGCCCUUACGAAAGAGACCCCAGAAAACAGCCUUGCCUCUUCCACUAUAUCAGGACAAAGAAGGUGCCAUCUAUGAACUAGGCAGUACCAAAUAUUGGACUUCCCAGCCUCCAGAACUCUGAACAAUACAUCUGUUGUUUAUAAGCUCCCCAAUUUGGGAUGGAGAUAUAUAGAUAUAUAGAUAGAUAGUUGUUGUUGUAGAUGGACAGAAUGCCUUUAUUUUAUUUGUUUAUUUUUAUGUGGUGCACAUGCAUGCUAGCCAAGCACUCUACCACUGAGCUAAAUCCCCAGCCCCCAAUAUGGGGUAUUUUAUGAUAGCAGUCUGAACAAAAAACUAAGACAAAGGUCCAGAAUAAUUAUUUUAGGCUUUGCAGGCCAUAUGGUCUCAGCCAUUGUAGCACAAAAGCAAUCACAGACAAUAUGCAAACAAAUAGGCAUGGCUAUGUGCCAAUAAAACUUUAUUUACAUAAACAAUCUGCCAGCAAGCAGGCUGCAGUUUUCCACCCCAUUUUAAAGCAACACGUUUCAAGGUUCCUUACAAAUAACUUCUUCCAUUUUCAAGCAUAAUUCUUUGUUCUGGUCCAGCUUUGCCCUGUUGCUCACUGAAUAAAGCCCAGGUUCUUGUUCUAGAAUUCACAUGGACGUGUCCAGUGACACAAACUAAGGUGGCAUUUCUUUUCUUCUUUUUGUUUGUUGUUGUACUGGGGAAUGAACCCAUGGACACUCUAACACUGAGCUAUAUCCCCAGCCCUUUUAAAUUGUUUAUUUAGAGACAAGAUCUAAGUGCCUGAGGCUAGUCUUGAACUUGCAAUCCUCCUGCCUCAACCUUCUGAGUCUCUGGGAUUACAGAUACUUACCACUGCACCUGGUUUAAGAUGUCAUUUCUUUCUUUCUUUCUUUUUUUAAUCUUCAUUUAUGUAUUUUCAUGUGGUGCUGAGGAUCGAACCCAGGGCCUCACACGUGCAAGGCAGGCCCUCUACCACUGAGCCACAGCCCCAGCCCCUUAAGAUGUCAUUUCUAAGAAACCAAUAUUCCAAGGCUCCGUGAACAUAGAUGCUCUCAAUGUAGAACUGGAAGUGACUUUGAAGGUCACCUCCCCAUGAGCCCUCUCCUGUCUAUUGUCCCCUUGACUAGGCUUCAACCUCCCCAGCCUUGUGCACUUUCAUGGAGUACAGACUUCAUCUUCCUUUGCUCUGGAUAUGCUGGGUUGAACCAUCCCAUUGACAUCCUUCCCAGAACUUCAGAAUGGGACCUUAUUUGGAAAUAGGGUUGUUGCAGUUAUAAUUAUUUGAGGCCAUACUGGAGUAGGGAGGACCCUUCAUCCAUUAUGGCAUCCUUUUGAGAAUAGAAGCCAAACACAGGGAGAAAGUGUGGUGCCAGAGGCAGAACUGGAGUGAUGCAUCUAUACACCAAGUACAGCAAGGAUUGCUAGCACCACAAGGACCUUGCUUGGGGCUUUGGAACUAUGAGCAAAUAAAUUUCUAUCCUUUGAGGCCAUCCAGUUGGCAGUUCAUUGUUAUGGAGCCCAUGGAAACUAAUCUUGUGAUCUUCAUGCUUCUGUUCCUUCUGACAGACGCUCUCUUCCCCUGGUCAACUCCUAUUCAUCCACUAAACCUGCUCCUUCCUCAGGCACGCCUUCCCAGGCUCCUGGACUAGUCUGGCUCACUGGCCUCAUUUUUCCUCAUCUACCAGUGAUCAUGCAUCAUUCUCAGCUCCACAGGCCCAGGAUAGGAGAUUCUCUGGCCCAGUCAGGGCCUCCUCUCCCAGGUGAAUCACUAAUUCCUGUGGAAGUGAAAGUCUAGUUUGCAGCUGCCAGGUCUCCAGGCUCCUCUCUUAGCCGAGGCCCUCCUCUGAGCUCCAGAUGCGCAGGUCUGCCCGUCUGCUCACUUGAGGUUUCUGCUGGGAUGUAUCACGUACAUCCCAAACUUCACAUGAUGGAAAGGAAUUGUUUCAUCCUUCCCCACAAAACUAACCCCCUCCCCCAGCUCUGGUAUUCUGCCUCAGAAUAAGAACCAUCCUUAUCUGUCUGUCCAGUUGCUCAAUCUAUCUUCUCUCCCUCCACUGGGUGCCACCUAACCCAAGCCACCAUCUCGUCUCACCUGGACCACUGCAGUGGUGUCCUUGCUGGUCCUUCUGUUACUUCUUCCCAUCUCCAGAUCAUUCUGUACCUGGGAUCUCGACCCAGCUUACCAAAGCUAUAAAAUCAAUCAACAGUUUUCCAAGACCUUGAAAGUAAAAUCCAUAGUCUUGCUUCAGCCCGCAAGGUCAUAUGUGAACUGGCCCUGACCCUCUCUUUAACCCCAUCCUCCACUCCCUCCCUCUCUCCUGGUGUAUCUGUUUGCUCAGGCUGCUGUAACAAAGUAGCAUAACCUGGAUAGCUCAGACAACAGAAAUGAAUUGCCAUUCAGUUCUGGAGACUAGAAGUGUGAGAUUAAGGUUGGUAGGGUUAGCUCCUUCUGAGGACUGUGAAUGAGAAUCUGUUCCAGGCAUUUCUUCCCUUCUGGUGUUUGCCACCACUCUCUGGUGGUGUUUGGUUUUUGGCCACAUUGCCCUGGUUUCUGUCUCAAUGUUCACAUGGUGUCCCUUUGGGUGUGUAUGUCUGUUUCCCCUUUUUAUAAGGAUACCAGCCACUUUGGGUUAGGGCUUAUCCUAAGAACCUCAUUUUAGCCGGGUACAGUGGCGCAUGCCUGUGAUCCCAGCAUCUGGGGAGGCUGAGACAGGAGGAUCCCAAGUUCAAAGCCAGCCUCAGAAACAGUGAGGCACUAAGCAACUCAGUAAGACCCUGUCUCUAAAUAAAAUACAAAAUAGGGUUCCCCAGCCCUAUUUUGGCUCAGUAGUCAAGUGCCCUUGAAUUCAAUCCCUGGUACAAAAAAAAAAGAACCUCAUUUUAACUCAAUAGCCACUAUGAAAACCCUAUCUCCAGUCACAUCACAUUUUGAGGUACUGUGGGAUAGGAUGAUAACAUAUGAAUUUUGUGGAAGUUCAGACGGUAACAUCGGGUUUUGACUUUCCAAGCUCUUUCCUGUCUCAAGACCUUGCUGCAUGUUCUUUUCUGCCUGGAUAACCCUCCUGACUCCUUUGGAUGAACAGGGCCUUAUCUUCCUUUAGGUCUCAGCUUAUAUAUCAUUUGAAAGUCAAUAAGUCUUCAUUGCUGGGUUUCUACAAUGUACAGAACAUUAGACUAUGAAUCCCCCCCCCUUUUUUUAUCCCCAAGAUAUAGGGUCUUGCUGAGUUGCUCAGGCUGGCUAAGAACUUCUGGGUUCAAGCGAUCCUGUGUCUCAGCCUUCAAGUAGCUGGGACUGCAGGCACACACCACUGAGCUAGGGAUUGAACCUAGAGUGUUUAACCACUGAGCCACAUGGGCAGCCUCUUUAUUUUGAGACAGGGUCUUGCUAUGUUGCUAAGGCUGGCUUUGAACUUACGUUCCUCCUGCCUCAAUCUCGGAGUCGCUGUGACUACAGAUGCAUGCCCCAUGCCUGGCUUCUACUAUACAUUCUUUUCUUUUUUUCUUUUUGGUACCAGGGAUUGAACUCAGGGGUACUUGACCAUUGAGCCACAUCCCCAGCCCUAGUGCCUCCCUUUUGCUGAGGCUGGCUUUGAACUCAUCAUCCUUCUGUCUCAGCCUCUACCAUACAUUCUUGAAAAGUUAAAACCUGUAUUAGUCAAGACUCAUUCAGGUAUGAGCAUCAGAAAUCCAACCUCAACUGGCAGAAGAGGAAGGGUGUCACUCGGCUCUCAUAAAGGGAUGUCCAGGGUGGAGCUGACUUCAGGGACAGUUGUCCUAUAUCUGCCUAACUCAUUAACCCCCAGAGCUCCAUGUUUUUCCCUGUGUGGCCUUACUCUCCCCUUGGCAGGCAGGCCUUCUCCAGGUGACAAUGCAGAGAAGGGACAGAGCUUCAUGUCUCCUCAACCCAGCUCACUGCCACCUUCUCCCUCUAACCUCCACGUUCAAUCCCAGGAUAGUUGUGCUUAAUCUAGUCUGAUGAACCCAUGUCUUCAUCUGGGACAAUCACUCUGGCUCUGACUGGCCAGAUCUAUGUCAUGAAUCAGAGCCAGUGCUAUGGCCUUUAGGGCAACUGUGAUGGGGCUGAGGGGCUCUCCAGAGAAGGAAGGCAGCUGCUCUACAAACAAGGUAUAAGGGAUGCUGGGCCAGGCAGAGGAAACAACUGACAUCCCCAAUAAACCCAUUCCACUACAAACUGGAUCUUUUUUUUUUUUUUUUAAGAAUUUUUUAAUAUUUAUUUUUUAGUUCUUGGUGGACACAAACAACAUCUUUGUUUGUAUGUGGUGCUGAGGAUCAAACCUGGACCGCACGCAUGCCAGGCGAGUGCGCUACCGCUUGAGGCACAUCCCCAGCCCCUACAAAGUGGAUCUUAAAAGAGUCUUAGUAAGGGGUAGGGGUAUAGCUCAGAGGUGGGGCACUUGCCUGGUAAGCACGAAUUCCUGGGUUCUGAUCCCCAGCACAGGGGGGAAAAAAUGUGAAUGACAAGAACUUAGAUUUCAUUAACUGCUGUUGGAUUCAGUAAAUAUUUUAUGUACCCUACCAAAUCGCUACUCCCAAAAGCUCACAAUGCAAACCAGUCACUAGAAUUCAAUAUCAUGAAGCUCCCUGCUCUGGGGACCCAAGAAAGGGUGCACUGAAUCCUACCCUGUUGUAGGGGUCAAGGAAAAAUAUAAAAGAAAAAGGCGAUUUAUGCUGUUUUUAAGUUAGAGUAAAAAGACUGGCUGGCUGAAAGGAGUGGGGUGGGUCAUCUGGCAGAGGGAACCACAAAAGCAAAGGCAGAGAGGAGGAAGUCCUUGGAGCACCCAAGAAUGACCAGGGAUUCCUGAAUGUAGGUGUCAUGUGUUCGAGUAGAGUGGUAACGCAUUCAUGUGGAUUUAAUCCACCGGCUUCAUGACAAUUAGUUACAAUAGUCACAGGAAACUCAUACAGGUAAGGUAGGGUGUGGGAAGGAAAUAGGGUCGGGUUAUGAAGAUUGUGUUCCUCACCCCAUAUGUCCCAUCCCAUGCAGGGUAGGGAAGCGAGGCACCUGUAUGGGUGGCACAAUUUGAUGGGUGUCUUAGAGAACCCUGGUACAGCUGGGCACAGUAGCACACACUUGUAAUUCCAGCAGCUCCAGAGGCUGAGGCAGGAAGAACCAAAGUUCAAAGCCAGACUCAGCAAUGAUGAAACACUAAGCAACUCAGUAAGACCCUGUCUCUAAAUAAAAUACAGAAAAAGGCUGGAAUUGUGGUUCAGUGGUUAAGUUCAAUCCCUGGUUUCAAAAAAAAAGCAAGAGAGAGAACCCUGGUGCAGUCAGGAGUAGGGAAGGUGGAGAUAGGGUAAAUGGGAACCAAAGGCCAGAUGAUCAGUGAGGCUUUGUUGAAGUAACUUGCCCAUGGUCAGCUCGCUAGCAACAAGUAGGACUGGCAUUCAACCCAGGGCAGUCUUACCUUGGGAUAUCGUCCUGGCCAAGAAGAGGAUAAGGGAUGAAAUUCUGGACACACAGGGUCUAAAGGUUCUGCAGGAUGUCCAGGUAGGAGUGAACAGCAGGCAGGUGGGUCCAGGAGCUAAGACCAGAAAAAAUAUGGGGAUUUAUCACUGUAAAGUGUGGCCAAGGCAACAUGUAUCCAGGAACAGAGUGUAGAUGUUAGGCGACAGGAGGGCUCAGGUGGGAGCUGGGGUGGGAGUAAAAGAGACAAAAGGCCACCUGAGAUGUGGCCAGUAGGUCAUGAGAUCAGUCUCAUCUAGGUGACCUCAGGGACAGUUGUCCUGUGUGGCCUUACUCUCCCCUUGGCAGGCAGGCCUUCUCCAGGUGGUCAGUGGUUCAACUUGGGGCAGAGAGACUAACCAGGAUAGCAACAGAAGAAAGGCCCCUGCCUUAGGUCAUUGGUGACCACUGCCAGAGCACUCUGAGUGAAGUGACAGGGCUGGACACCUUGUUACCCAGGACAAAAGAAGGCAAAAAAGUUGGGCAGCAGGGGCAGCAGUUGUAGACCAGGAGAUUGGCAGCAGGAGGAAGGAGAAUGGUCUGCAGGGGCUCAAGGGAGGCACAGCAGGUUUGGGCUUAUUAAUUGGUUGGGGGACACUUGACCAUGUUCAUAGGGACACAGAAAUCCAGCAGAGAUCAGUGCUGAUUGGUUUCUCCUAAGUGCAGUUUUCCUUUGGGGAACUGCCUUUCCCUGUUUCUUAGUUUGCAGGGCCUCCUGCUCUGGAAAUAAUCAUGGGUCAUAGUCUUACCCAUUAGCCUAGAACUUUUUUCCCUCUAUUUUUUACUGGUGCAUUGUAGUUACACAUAAUGGUGGGAUUUGUUGUUACAUAUUCAUACAUGCACACAAUACAACAGAUUAAUCUGGCCAGUAUCAUUCCCUAGUAUGUCCCCUCUCCCCACCUCCCAUCCCUUUCCUCUACUUUAUUGAUAUCCCUUAGAUUUUCAUGAGAUACCCCUCAACACACACCUUGCUUUCCCUUUUUUCUCUCUAGCUUUCAUAUAUGAAAUAAAACAGGCAGCUUUUGACCUUAUGAGUUUGCCUUAUUUCUUUUAACAUAAUGUUCUCAAGUUCCAUCCAUUUUCCUGCCAAUGAUAUAAUUUCAUUGUUUACUGCUGAAUAAAACUCCAUGAUGUAUAUACAUCACAUUUUCUUUAUCCAUCCAUCCACUGAUGGACACCUAGGCUGGUUCCAUAGUUUUAACCCUAGAACUCUGGCUUAAGCUCUGUCUCCUGGGAUUGCCAAAGUAGUCAAUGAAGGCCUGAAGCCAUCUUCAGGACCUGUCUGUAGUGAUGUCAACCCAGAUGAUAACAGAGCCAAGAGAUAGAGAGGGACAUUGUUUGAGCCCCACAGCAUUCCUCAGCUUGUUUGCCCUUGGCUUUUGUUCCAUUUGGAAAAAAAAAAAAGAGUCCUGCCUCAUGACAUUUGUUACCUGAAUUGCCAAAUUGGUCAGCAUGGAAGCCAGGGGUUACUGAGGGACAUCUUUUUUGAAAUGAGCCUUCCCCUCAAUUCAUCAGAUUUGGGGCAUGUAGCUGCUCCAGAACCAAGAACUAAUAGAAAGAGUGGAUUAUCCUAGGAUCAGCCUCUGCUGGGACUGGGACUGGGCUUGGCUUCUGCUGAGGCUCAGGGCUGUGUGGGAGAAAGGGAUGUCUGAAUGGAGUGGGAGUUCCCGGAGAAAGGAAAACCGGAUGCUGGCGAGGAACCCACAGUGAGGUGAACGCUGGAGCAGCAACAGGCAGGGAAGAGGCUUCAAAGGAAGAGGAGCUAAAUUUAAUCCUUAAUUAAAUCCCAGAUUUUUAAUAGUAUAUAUAAAGAAGAAGAAGAAGAGGAAGAAGGAGGAGGAGGAGGAGAAUAAUAAUAAUAAUAGAGUUUCAUUUCUGACUUUGUUGUUUUGUCCCCUCUGCCUAGAAAUUUUGUAACUUGUGUCCUCCAUAGAGGCACAAUAAUCCUUUUUAUCAUUGAGCCUUUGCAAAAAGUGCCAUUUCAUAAUGAAAAUCAAGGUCAUACUAAUUAAAAAGGCUCUAACAUGAAGCCAAGAUACAGGGUUUUUUAAAAAUAUUUUUAUUUUUUAGUUGUAGUUGGACACAAUACCUUUAUAUUAUUUAUUUAUUUUUAUGUGGUGCUGAGGAUCAAACCCACGGUCUCACACAUGCUAGGAGAGCGCUCUACUGCUGAGCCACAACCUCAGCCCCAGUUGUUGUUGUUUUAAUUGAAAUAAAAUGCAUAUAACAUACAUAAAAUUAACCACUUGUAAGUGAAAAAUUCCACCACACUUAGUGCAUUCACCAUGUGGUAUAGCUGCCUCUAUCUACUCCCUAAAUAUCUCAUCAUCUGAAAGGAAAUGAUGAGAUGUACUACACUCCCUAUCCUCCCCUCCUCCUGAGCCCCUGGCAACCAUCGAUCUGCUUGCUGGCUUUAUGAAUUUGCUGGUUCUGGAUAUUGUAUAUAAAUGGAAUCACACAAGAUAAAACUUUUGGUGUUAGGCUUCUUUUUCUUGGCAUUAUGUAUGUGAGGUUCACCCAUGGUAGUAUGUUAUUAGUAAUUCCUUCUAUGGCUAAAUAAUAAUCUUUUGCACGGGUAGACCAUAUUUUGUUUAUCCAUUCAUCCAUUAAUGUCUAUUAUUUGGCUUAUUUAACCUUUUGGCUAUUGUGAAUAGGGUUGCUAUGAACAUGUACUUACAGGUAUUAUUUUGAGUGCCUGUUUUAAAUUUGGGGGUUAUAUAACUAGGAGUUAAAUUGUUGGAUCACAAGGUAAUUCUAGAUUUAACUUUUUUUUUUUUUUGUACUAGGGACUGAACCCAGCCCCCCCCUUUUUUUUUUUAAUUUUGAGAAGGCCUUGCUAAAUUGCAUAGGGCCUCCCUAAGUUGCUGAGGCUGGCUUUCAACUUAGGAUCCUCUGGCUUUAGCCUCCUGAGCUGCUGGGAUUACAGGCAUGAGCCACGUACCCAGCCCAUCCCAGUCCUUUUUAUUUUUUGUUGUGAGAUUUAUUUUGAGUCUGAGUUGCCUAGGGCCUUACUAAAUUGCUGAGGCUGGCUUUCAACUUGUUAUCCUCCUGCCUCAGUCUCCUGAGUUGCUGGAAUUAUAGGUAUGUGCCAUGUAUCUGGCUAAUUCUGUAUGUGAAUAGUGCAGGACAUCAAGCCAGGGCCUCCCACUUGCUAGGGAAGCACUCUACCACUGAGCUACACUCCCAGCCCUACAUUUAUUUUAUUUUAUUGUAGUUGUAGAUGGACAACAUGCCUUUAUUUUAUUUAUUUUUAUGUGGUGCUAAGGAUAGAAUCCAGUGCCUCACACAUGCUAGGCAAGUGCUCUGCUACUUAGCUAUAGCCCCAGCCACCUACAUUUAACUUUUUGAGGAAAUGCCAAACUAUUUUCCACAAGGGCUACACCAUUUUAUAUUUCCACCAGCAAUGAAGGAAAGUUCCAAUUUCUCCAUAUACUGGUAGACAGUGGAAAUCCUUACUGACAAUGUUGAGCCAGGUACCUAAAUCACUAUCAGGAAGUAAAAGGAACUGUGAUCUCAGCAGGCAUGGUGGCCUAUGCCUGCAAUCCCAAUGAUUCAGGUGGCUGAGGCAGGAGGGUCAUGAGUUCAAGGCUAGCCUCAGACUUAGGGAAGCCCUAAGUAACUUAGUAAGACCCUAUCUCAAAAUUAAAAAUAAAAAGGGCUGGGGACGUUGUAAAGUGCCCCUGGAUUCAAUCCUGAUACAAAAAAAGAAAAAAGAAAAAAAAAAGAUUUAUUAUCUCCUUGUUUCAACUGAAUAAAAUAGAAAGAAAGGAAAAUAGGCAAAGGCCAACCUAUUACAUGUAUUCAUAUUAAUUUGAACAUGAUCAGAAGAUUUUCAUGGCAAUGGACCUAUACCUAUCUCCAUCUGUAUUUAUCUGCCUAUCUCUAUAUAAUAUAGGUAUAAAUAGACAUCUAUCUAUAGGUAUAAAGAUAGAUAGAUAGAUAUCAAUACAUUGAUAUUAUAUUUCUGGGUCCAUUGCCAUUAAACUCUUUGUGCUAUCUAUAUUUAUAAAGGCAGGUAGACAUAGAUUUGACCUUGUCAGUCACUCCCCCUGUUCACCAGGUGUGCAUUUAAAACACACACACACACCUCACAUACACAUCAUGUAAAAUUUGCUAAUUUAAAUAUUCAUUAAUUUACUUAAAACAUUUCUAAGUAAAAAGUAGCUGAGUGUCAGACACUGUUCUAGGCUUUGCAACUACAAACAAUAAAGUUCCUGCCCUUGUGGUUCUUAUAGGCAAUAAACAAAGAAACUACCAAAUACAUACCUCAUAGUGAUAAAUAGUAUCAAGAAGAUUGAUGCAGCUGGGGGGUGGCUUAGUGGUAGAAUGUGUGUUUAGCAUGUAUAAGGCUCUGAGAUCAAUCCCCAGACUGAAGUGGAGGAGGAGGAGGAAGAGGACCAGGCAGAAGAAGAAAGAGGUUAUGGGAUAUGGAGUGGUGAGGAGGAUGCUAUUGUAUAUAGUAGGGUACUCAGGGAUGACUGCCCAGUCAGAGGCAUCUAAAAUGAGACCAAAGACCUGGCAGAAGUGAAGUAGUAAGAAUGUGAAUACCUGGGGAAAGGGCAUUAUAGGCAGAGGGAGAAGCAAGUGCAAAGGCCCUGAGUUGGGAUUCUUCUAGGUAUGUUGGAAAAGAGAAUUGAGAAAACCAGGGUGUCUGAGGUGAAAGAAGCAAGGAGAAGAGUGGAGUAGGGAAGGGCCUGAUAUUCAGUUAUGCAUGGUAAGAUGUGUGACAUUUAUUCUGACAUGAGAGCCAUUCAAAGGUUUUCAGGAGAGGAACCUGAAAUGCUGACUUGUAUUGAAAAGGAUUGCUCUGCACACUGUUUAAAAAAUAGACUUACUGGAGGGUAAGACUGGAAGCAGGGAGAGGUGUUAGGAGACAGUGGUGGCUUGGAUUGGGCUGAUGGUCAUGGAGGUGAGCAGUAGCUCAUUCUGGAUAUAGUUGAAGGUCAAGCCAAUUUUACUUGCUGAUAGUGUAGGUGGGGAGUGAGAGAGAGACCAGUGCAAGUCUAGGUGUUGUUUGAUUGAGCAAAUGGAAGACUGGAGGUUGAAUGUUCUGAAGUAGGGGAAGCUGGAAAGACUAUAGAGUUGAGCUCUGGUCACACAGUAAGUUUGAGAGAUCUGUUAUCAAUUUCAAUGGAAGAUGCCAACUAGGCAGCUGAGAGUCCACCAGGAGUCAGAGCUGGAGGAAAUGUUGGGGAGUUUUCAGGGAAUGUGUGGUUCUGGAGGCCAUGGGAUUGAGAGGGAGACUAUCCAGGGAAUGUAGAUAGAGUGCACACGAGGAGGGUGUUCACGCCAAGAGGUCAGGGAGAGGAGAAACUAGUAAGGGGACUAAGAAAGGAGAUAUGGCCAGGGAACCAGGUGCUGAAAGUAUCUCUGGAGGAGGCAAUGAUCAACAUGCACAGAGGCUGCUGAUAAAUCCAGCAAGAUGACAACUGAGAAUUGGCCACUGGAUUUUUCAGUGGGGCAGCCACUACAUGAAGUCAUUUCCUUGAAGUGGUGGGGAUCCAGGUGAGAAUGGGCUUGGAGGAAGGGGAGAUGGGGCAGAAAAGUCUCUGCUCUAUGGAGGACAUCAUGGGGAAGGAAGUGGUGGUGCAGAAGGUGGGGUGGACAGGAGAUGGGAUGACACCUGUAACAAUGAGAGCUAUAUAGCAUGUUGCUUGACUAGAGAGAGUGACCCAUUAGAAAAGAGGGGCACUAGGGGUGUCCUUUGGUAGAAGAGACACGACAGGAUGUAGAUAGUAAAUAGGUCCUGUGAGCACAGUGAACAUGUGUACAAACAUCAACAACUUUCAUAUGAAGUCCAUUUCUGUGAAUCUGAACCCCUUAGGGCUUGAUAAAGAAUCUAAUCUAAUCUUCUAAUCUUUUGUUUGGCAGUGCUAGUGACUGAACGCAGGGUCUUGCACAGGAUAAGCACAUACUCUGUCACCAUCACUGAGAUACAGCCCAGCCAUCUUCUUUCCAAGGGCAUCUGUUAGGAGUUUAUUAUUGAUUGCUACCUUCCUAUUGUGGUAUUCAGAAAAUUGAUCAUUUUAAACUUAUUGUGGUUCUGGCGAUUGAACCCAGACUUUCUGCAUGCUGGGGAAGUGCUCCACCAUCUAAGCUUCCUCAUCAGCCCAGACAUAGUUAAAUGUACAGUUCAGUGACAAGCACAAUGUUGUGCAACUCAUAAUGGGUUGCAUUAUGACUAUUUCCAAAACUCUGACAUCACCCUAAACAGAAAUUGUACCCAUUAAACUCUAGUUCCCCACUCUCCCCUUUCUCUGACCCCAGUAACCAUCAUUAAACUUUAUGGCUAUGGAUUCAACUACUCUAAGGACCUCAUAUGAGCAGAAUCAGAAUAUUUGUCCUUUUGUGUCUGGCUUAUUUCACUUAGCAUGAUGUCUGAAAGGCAAAUUCAUGAUGUAGCAUGUGUUAGAAUUUUCUUCUUUUAAGGCUGUAUAAUAUUGUAUUAUAUCUAUUCAAUAAUUCACACAAUAGAUAAACACAAUGUGAUUUUAAUUGUUGUUUUUUAAAAAAUUGUGCUUCUGGGGCUGGGGAGUUGGUAGAGUGCUUCCCUUGCAUUCACAAGGCCAUAGGUUCAAACCCCAGCACCACAAAAAAAAAAAAAAGAAAGAAAGAAAAAGAAAAAAAAAUUGUGCUUCUGUGACCAAGGGCCCCAUUCAGGCUACCCAGGUGCUCUACUACUGAGCCACACCCAAGUCCUAUUGCUAGCUUUUUUACUUAAAAAAAAAAAAAAAAAUUAGCUGGGUGUGAUAUGUGUGUCUGUAAUCCCAGCAACUCCAGGGGCUGAGGCAGGAGGCAGGAGGAUCACAAGUUCAAGGCCAGUCCAUGCAACUUUUUUUUUUUUUUUUGGUGGUGCUGGAGAUUGAGCCCAGGACCUUCUGCAUGCAAGGCAAGCACCCUACCAACUGUGCUAUAUCCCCAGCCCAGUCUGUGCAACUUUUGAAACCUGGUUUCAAAACAAAAAAAUAAAAAGGGCCUGGGAUGUAGUUCAGUGGUAGAGCACUUACUUAAUAUGAGCAAAGAAAGCUCCAAAAAAAAAAAAAAGAAAGAAAGAAAAAGAAAAAAAGUCAUACUUAGGAAAUCUUUUUUUCAUUCAUUUGCCUUAUUUUCUCUCCUUCCUCUCUUCUAGACCUUCAUUUAUUUGAAUAUUUUCAAGCAUUCUGCUAACCAUGAAUGCACUUCAAGGAAUUGGGGAAAGGAAAGAUUUAAGGUCAGCCUGAAAUCAAUGGUGUAUUUGUAAAGUGGUGUAAUAAUAUUGCCCCAUAAAACGAGAUCAAAGGGUAUGCUCAGGACUCUGAGGAACAAAAGUAAAAACCAUAGAUUCACAGACCAGGCCAAAAUCUGGAUGAAAGCUCUCUAUACCUUUUCAUCUCUGUUUCCUAAUCUUUUGUUUGGCAGUGCUAGUGACUGAACGCAGGGUCUUGCACAGGAUAAGCACAUACUCUACCACCACCACCACCGAGAUAUAGCCCAGCCAUCUUCUUUAUCUUACCUUUACAAGCAGGGCAUGGGCCAUCCAGCAUUUGCCCAGUUCUUUCAUGUUCCUGUAACCUCCGAAAGGUCCCUUGAGAAUAUCCAAUGUAGGCUCUCGCCAUUGAUGAAGAACAAUGAGGAACAACUUUCCCAGGGUAAUUCAUUUGCAUUUAUUUCGUUCUUUUUUUUUUUUUUAGUUGUAGAUGGAAACAAUAGCUUCAUUUUAUUUAUCUAUUUUCAUGUGGUGCUGAGAAUGGAACCCAGUGCCUCACAUGUGCUAGGCAAACACUCCACCAAGCAGUUGCCCCAUGUAUUUGCAUUUCUGAACAACUAGCUCUGCAGAAACUUUUGCUCAUACCAUUUUCACCAGAUGGUUCUAGUAUCCUUGAAUGAAAUGACCAAAAGUUUUGGAAGUCAUCAUAUAGCUAAAAGGAGAUUUCUCAGCUUUCUUCAGGAUUUUGCAAGGCAUCUUGUUAAAAACUUUUUUUUGGUACUGAUAUUCAACUUCUCCAUCUCUAAUUGUGAUGAUUAUAGAAAAAGAUGACUAAUUCUUUACUCCCCCCACCCGCUUUUUUUUUUUUUUUUUUUGGUACCAGGGAUUGAACCCAGAGAGCUUAAACUCUGAGCUACAUCCCCAGCCUCUUUAUAUAUUUUAUUUAGAGACAGGGUCUUGCUGAGUUGCUUAUGACCUUGCUAAAAGGCUGAGGCUGGCCUUGAACUCUUAAUCCUCCUGCCCCAGGCUCCUGAGCCGCUGGGAUUACAGAUGUAUUCCACCAUGCCUGGCUCUUUACUCCCUUUAAAAAGUGAUUUUGCAACUGUGACCCAUCAAGGAGUAGAAUCCUAUUUUUCCUACUCCACAGUUCUGGGCUUGGUCAUGUGUUUUGUUUUGGUUAAUGUGACAUUAGAAAAAUUGACACAAGAAAAGACCUGUAAAGUGCCUGUGCGUGGGGCUUGCCUUUUCUUGCUGCUCUUGGGAACUGGCGGCCCACCAUCAUGUAAAUAAGCCCAGGCUAGUCCACUGGAUAUUAGAGAACUAUGUCUAGUCCUAUGACCCCAGCUGACACAAGGCAAGUCUGCGAGGCCAUAGCCUAUUUGGACUAUGAAAGAGACCAGAACAGGGGAUUUGAUCAGUUCAUUCAUUUUCAGAAAAAAGUCACUAAUCACUUUGGAGAUUCCAAGGAUUUCAGGAUUUGCAUGCCAGGAAAUCAUGAAAAAGACUAUAUAUAUAUAUUUCACAAUUAUUACAAGCAGCAUACCUGGCUGCUAACCAUAAUAUGACAUUUGUAUUCCUUUCCUCUUAAAACAAUGAUUCUCCAGUGAGAAUCAGCAGAUUGUUUUGAGGAUUAAACAACCAAGUUAUUGUGUAGACAGCACUCAGAAUAUAGUUGGCACAUAGUGGAUGCUUUAUAAGAGGCUGCAGUUCUUAUUAUCAUUCUCUAUCCCUGGUCUUCCUUAGGGAAAAAGAUAUAUUUUUGGUAAUAGGGGUAAGACAGUGAAUAUUGUUACAUCUGUAUCUGAUUCAGCUCCAUAAAAAGAAGCCAGGUCCCUACUCUAGGAUCACCAUGUCACUAUUAAUUAUAUUGGUCUCCUCUCCGGUUCCAUUGUAAGGCUCAUGGUAUUCUAUAGCAAACAAACAAGAUCCCUUGCUCAUGGCCAGUUCAGCUGUCACUGGUGCUGCACACAUCCAUUUUAAAUUGCUUCUUGCGUUCUCCAAAUGGUACAAACUUCAAAUCUUCAUCUUUCCAUAAAUCUGUGGCCCUCAAACAACAGGAUGUCCACAAAAUUCACCCAGAAAAGGGAGUGAACAAAAACAAAAAGGAGAGAAGGAGAAAAAAACAAAAGGCUGAGUUUCUUUAAAUUUCUGGCUCUGCACAGCACAAGCAUUUCCAAUGAAAAAUAAAGAAUUCUUUCUUCUAUGUCUAUUUCAGCUGGCAUCCAGCUUAUGCCUUGUGAAUAAUUUCACUGCAUCAUUAUUCCAUCCCACAAGGUAAAACAAAACGAGCAACUUAACCAGAAGUGUGCUUAUUUGGGGGGAAUGGUUCAUUUAAAGGCUUUGAAAUACUGUUGCUGUAUUCUAUUUUGCCAUACCCCCUCAGAUUUUUCAAAGCUAUGAGAAACUUGUUACUUUGCCCACAAGGUGUAUAAAUAAUGCCUCCGUGGAAGCCCCCACCCCAUAUACUUUCUUUUUAUUACUUUCAGCCUUUUGGGAUUCCUGGAGUGUCUACAAAUAGAUUAGCCUCUAAGAAUUCUGAAAAACCAUGGUUAGAAAAAUCCAUUGGUUUAAUUGGCCAUGGUCCCAUUUUGAAAAUUCCAUCUGCUCUUUUUUUUAAUGAGGAUUGGUCUUUACAAAAACUUGAAGAGGAUGGAAUUUUAGGGGUGCAAGUUAGUUUUGGUUUGAAUUAAUUUUCAUGCUUUUGAAAGUGAAAUCAAGAGCAUUGACUGAAUAAUGUAUCAUCAUACAUUAAACACGAUGAAAUGAAGCAAGCUGAAAAGAAAUGAUUGCAGAAAAAUGAAUUGCUGGGAAUAUCAGGUCAUGUGACAUGUGCUAUUGUAGUUAGUGACAGCAAAUCACUCUUUGCAUUUUGCCUUGAAUGGCUCCAUCCAUUUGUCAUCUCAAAAUCUAGAGACUUGAUUAAUCAUUAAAGUGAAGAAAAUUAACAGGCUAACAGAAAGAAAGGAUGGAAAAAAGAGAGAACGAAAAAAAAAUAACAGGCUAAUAAAAGGGCCAGUGGCUUAUUGAAAGGUCACUGAAAAUCACAUAUCAAGCAAAGAAUUCACAGUACUAAAUCCCAACUCUGAAAGUCUUUCUCUAUAUGCUUUCUCACUUGAGACUUUUUUCCCAUUUCUGAAAUAUUGAUUGGUCAUAGUUGUUAUUAAGGUUUAAAUGCCAGCAAUACUUCUUAAUAUCAGAACUCUUUUAGGACAUUAUUCCUCAUUUUUUGAUGAUAACUCUUCAAAGAUACUUGUUAGUUUUUUUUUUUAAGAGAGAGAGAGAAUUUUUCAGUAUUUAUUUUUCAGUUUUCUGUGGACACAACAUCUUUAUUUUUAUGUAGUGCUGAGGAUCGAACCCAGUGCCCCGUGCAUGCCAGGCGAGUGCAUUACCACUUGAGCCACAUCCCCAGCCCUACUUGUUAGUUUUAAUAGCUGCCUGAAAAACCACUUUAACUCUAUGAUAUUAAUUCCUGACUCCAGUAUUUGUCCUUAAAGAACUAUAAAUGCAGUCAGCUACAAUAGCUCUUGCCUGUACUCCCGGUGACUCAGGAGGAUGAGGCAGGAAGAUUGCAAGUUUGAGGCUAGCCUUGGCAAAUUAGCAAGACCCUGUCUCAAAAUAAGAAAUAAAAAGGGUCCGGUGCAGUGGCACAUGCCUAUAAUCCCAGUGGCUUGGGAGGCUGAGGCAGGAGGAUUGCCAGUUCAAAGCUAGCCUCAGCAAAAUGUGAGUCAAUAAGCAACUCAGUAAGACCUGUCUCUAAAUAAAAUACAAAAUAGGGCUGGGGAUGUGGCUCAGUGGUUGAAUGGUCCUUAGUUCAAUACCAGGUACCCUAAAAAAUAAAAAAAAUAAUAAAAAAUACAUGAAAACAGCUGGCAGUAUAGCUCAGUGAUAAAGCACCCCCAUGUGAGUACAAUCCCUAAUGUCCCCCCCCAACCCCAACCUCUCUAAAUAUACUUAGAAAUCAAAGGAAAAACACUUUUAUCGGUCAUUGUAUUAGUAAUCUAUUGCUGCAAAAUAAAUUGCCCCACAAUUUAGCAGCAUAAAACAAUAUGAGGGUUAUUGGCUUAACUGAGUGUCUGUAGCUCAAGGUCUCUAAGAAAGCUGAAUAAAAUGUAGGCCAGGGGGCUGGGGUUGUAGCUCAGUGGUAGAGUGCUUGCCUAGCAUGUGUGAGGCCCUGGGUUCGAUCCCCAGCACCAUGUAAAACUAAAUAAACAAAAUAAAGGUAUUGUGUCCAUCUACAACUAAAAGUCUUAAGGGAAAAAAAAAUGUAGGCCAGAGCUGUAAUCAGAUGGAGGCUUGAGUGGGGAUGCUUGGUUUCUAGGCUCACUCACAUGGCUGUUGGUAGUUAGCAGGUCCUCACUCUUGGUUGGAGACCUCAGUUCCCUGUGGGCCUUUCCAUGGGUGAGCUCACAACUUAGCAACUUGCUUUCCCUAAAGCAGGUGAGUUAAGGAAGGACAGUUGCCAUAGUCUUUUUGUGCCUGAAUUUUAGAAAUGAAAGUCAUAAUUUCCCCAUGUUUUAGUUAGAAAGGAGUCAUAAUGUGUAGCUCUUCUUUGAGUGGCAGUUAUUUUACAGGGUCUAAACACCAGCAGGCAAGGAGCAUUUGGGACUAUCUUAGAUGAUUGCCUCGACAUUAUUUAUUUUAAACUGCGUUACUCUGGCAUUUUCCUCUCUCCUUUUUCCCCCUUUCUAAAAAACUUAACCUUUAUUUAUUUGUUUUUUUAUGCAGUGCUGAGAAUCAAACCCGGAGCCUGACCUAUGCUAAGCAAGCAGCGCUCUACCACUGAGCUACAAUGUGAGCCUGACAUUUUCUCUCUUUUUCCCUUGGUGUAGGGAUUGAACCCAGGGCCUGUGUAUGCUAAUCAAAAGCUCUAUCAUUGAGCUACCUCAGCCCACUCUGAUAUUUUAAUGUAAAGCUAAAGCCCUCCCCCUCUUUUUUUUAAAGAGAGAGAGAGAGAAUUUUUUAAUAUUUAUUCUCUAGUUUUUGGUGGACACAACAUCUUUAUUUUAUUUGUAUGUGGUGCUGAGGAUCGAACCCAGUGCCCCGGGUAUACCAUUACUGCUUGAGCCACCUCCCCAGCCCAAGCUAAAGCCCCUUGAUACAAAGUUGCUGUUAAAUAACUCUCAGCUAUCUAGAUUUGAGGUGAAGAGUUUGCAAUAAAAGAUAUUCAUUGGGGCUGGGGUGGCUCAAUGGUAGAGCACUUGCCUCACAUGUGUAAGGUACAGGGUUUGAUUCUCAGCACCAUGAGUAUAAAUAAUAAAAUAUUAUUAUAAAAUAAAGGUCUGUCAACAACAACAUCAACAACAAAAAGAUAUUCAUUGUUUUUAGUUGAUGAUCCUCUCUCCAUGAAGAAAAAGGGAGUGUUUAAAAUAGAGUUAACUGGGAGCUGGGCACUGUGGUGCAUGCCUAUAAUCCCAGUGACCUGGGAGGAUGAGGCAGGAGGAUUGCAAAUUCAAAGUUAAUCUCAGCAACUUAGUGAGGCCCUGUCUCAAAAUAAAAAAUAAAAGGCCGGGAUGUGGCUCAGUGGUUAAGCACUUCAGUGUUCACUCCCCAAUUAAAAAAAAAGGUAAAAAUAAGUAGUUUGCUCCAGCACUCAGUAAUUCCAUCUGUAGGAACCUAUCCAAGAGAAAUGUCCACAUGAAGACAGAUAUUCACAGCAGCAUUGAAUAAAUGCCCCAAACCUGAAACCAUCAAAAUGUCUGUCAACUGGGAAGCAGAGACACAAAAUGAGUUGAAUAUAUCCAGUAAUAGAAUACUAUUCAGCAAUGAUAGGAAUGACACAUAAGACAUGUUGUUAUUAAAACUCAAAAACAUGAUGCUAAGUGAAAGACAGCAGACACCAAAGGCCAUUUGUUGUAAGAUUCCAUUUUCAUGAAAUGUCUAGAAUACGCAAAUGUAUAUACAUAGAGAAAGCAGAUUAGUGGUUGCCUUGGGCUGAAGAUGGAAUCCAGGAGAAACUGCAAAUGAGCAUGAAGGGUCUUUGGGGGUGAUGAUAUGUUUUGAGAUUAGUGGCAAUGGUUGUAAGACUACAAAUUUACUGAGCAUCAUUGAGUCAUACACAAAAUAGGUGAAUUUCAUGAUAUGUAAAUCAUGUCUCAAUAAAACUUCAAUUUUUUGCAAUGAUACUGGAUUAAAACUUGAGCUUUCUCAGCCUUAAAUGAAACCAAAUUCAGCCAUGUCAGCUUCAGGCCUUCAUAUUCAACUCUUUUUUUCUUCCCAUCUACCUGGAAUUUGGGCCUAUGAUUGAAUUCUGGGAGCUUGGUUAAAGAUAUAACUAUUGGGGUUGGGGUUGUGGCUCAGAGGAAAGAGCACUCACCUAGCAUGCAUCAUCAGUAUCACAUAAAAAUAAUUGUAUUGUUUCCAUCUACAACGACAACAAAAAUUUUUUUUAAAAAGAUAUGUUAAGGGCUGGGGAUGUGGCUCAAGCGGUAGCGUGCUUGCCUGGCAUGCAUGCGGCCCUGGUUCGAUCCUCAGCACCACAUACCAACAAAGAUGUUGUGUCUGCC